rnacentral:misc_RNA from 1 species
GAUGAAGAACGUAGCGAAAUGCGAUAAGUAGUGUGAAUUGCAGAAUUCAGUGAAUCAUCGAAUCUUUGAACGCACAUUGCGCCCCUUGGUAUUCCAUGGGGCAUGCCUGUUCGAGCGUCAUUUGUACCUUCAAGCUUUGCUUGGUGUUGGGUGUUUGUCCAUUCUCUUGCAGAGGGACUCGCCUUAAAGUAAUUGGCAGCCAGUGUUUUGGUUUUGAAGCGCAGCACAAGUCGCGAUUCAACGCUAUACGCCAGCUUCCACAAGCCUUUUUCACUUUUGACCUCGGAUCAGGUAGGGAUACCCGCUGAACUUAAGCACAUCAGCGGAGGA